UUCCUUUCAGUGACCAGAGUCAAGGAUGUGGGUUUUCUGGGGAGCAGAUAAAGAGCAAGCAUGUGGGUAGAGUUGGUCUAGGUUAAUUAUAAAAAGCAGCUUCCCCGAAGGGCUGCCUGCCUGGGGUUAUGGGUGAGGUGACCUCAGCAGGAUGCUGGUAGUGGUGUCAGAUGAAGAAGCUGAGAGGGUAGGGUGACAAUGAGGAGGAACACUGACCUGCACGAAGAGAAGCAUUGCUGGAGGCAAGGGUAUUUAUGGCAGUGUUCUCAGCAGGGGGUUAUACAAUGACCCCACAAAAACAGCCCAUGCUUUGAGACCCUUUCAGAACAGAAGUCUAGCAAAUUGCAUCCUGUAUACUAAGAAACAUGGAACAGAGUAAAGUCAUGGGCCAGGGAUAAGCACAGCAAGUUCUGGAGCUACCUGUAACAAGGUGCAACUCAAGCAGUGAUGUGGAGACGAGUGCAUGAAGUAAUGAAGUGCUGGAUUAUGAAAUUCUUCACAGAAUUUCCUUAAGGAGUUUGCUUUUGUCUUAGCCAGCUGAGAGUCUGUCCAGGGGAGAACCAAAACCAGAGAAGCUUCUUUUCUUCUUUGUUUCAAUCACAUCAUUCUCCAGAGACACAAGUUCAUCAAGAAGUAAGAGUUUUGC